GCUUUGCUUUGUUUUUUUUUUUUUUACUUUGAUUUGGUUUUUAUCUUUUUUGGUUUUAGAAUAUUGUUGGUUUAGUUCUUUGAUCUAUUUCUGAAGUUCUUGGAUUAAUUUGAACACUUAUUUUGAUUAUUCUUGUGGAACUGUUUUCAUUCUUUUUUUUUCUUUUUUCCCUGUUUAAUUCUAAUUUAAGAUUCAUCUGCUUCUUUUUUUCCUUCUUGUUCAUUGCAUAAAUUUGAAGCCAUUUUUUUUGUUUAUUUACUUCUUGGAAAAAAGAAGAAAGCUUGAAUGUAGAUUAGGAUCUGGACUACUAAUUUA
rnacentral:lncRNA from 1 species